AGUCUGCUCAGUUCCAUCCGAAAACUGCUGGACAGUCAGGACAAAUGGUUGCCCCCAGAAUUGUCAGGCACGUACAGAGCCUCACAACAGUUUACCUGGGAGCAGAAACCUCUGUGGGAGCCGGGACCAGGCAGGAAAACCUGAACUGGAAUUAACAAGUUGCUGGAGGUUCAGUGUGGACAGUCUGAGAGCACAGAAAUUUUCAGUGAAAGGCUUGAUGAGGACAUACUCAGAUGAGGAAAUAGCUUCCAACACUCCAGAAGAUUCCCUGGACCACUCUCAGCACUAUCUGCCCCACAGAUUGUAUAGCCCCUGCUGAGAACAGCUCCAAGUACAAACAGGAAGGAAACAGCCCUGCCCUCGAGUCCAGUGAGGAAGAUAAACAAGCCUGUAGCAAUUACAACUCAGUUGAGUAACAUGAGUGAAGGCACCUAUUCCUCUGACAAUCAAGCUUUACUUUUCAGUAAAAGAAACAUGCAAAAUGGGUCCAAAAUUAGUUACAUAUACAUGACCACGGUCACUUGGUGAGUCAUUACAGAAGAUGAGACCACACAGAACUUGUAAAUUUGAUGCAUGGUUACAAAUAUCCAGAGAAGACUUUAUUUUCACCCAGAGACGGGGUGCAAUAGAAAAACUGCCUCGAUGCCUUUCCUCCUCAGCUUGGAAGUUUUGAAUCUACUCCUGCACUAAAAUACCUUGAAGCCUCCUUCUUCAUAGAAGCUUUCACUUCACUUCCCUGAACCAAUAAGCCCCCGUUCUCCUGACUGCACAUGAUUAUUAAAAUUUAAACUCUUCAGAUUUGAAACCUGACUUGAUAUUGUUAAUUUUUCAGUAUGAUAUUGUAUUUGGUUAUAUUUGUUUAGAAAGCCCAUUUUAUAUAAACCUGGUAAAAACUUUACAGAUGAACAUAAUAUAUGAUUGUUUUUUUUGUUUCAAAAUAACCCAAAAAAGAGUGUUGGGAAUUGAGAAGAGGUAAAGGUGAACUGUAUUUUGUCAUAGAG